GCGUCGGUGGUUCAGUGGUAGAAUACUCGCCUGCCACGCGGGUGGCUCGGGUUCGAUUCCCGGCCGACGCA
rnacentral:tRNA from 1 species